rnacentral:pre_miRNA from 1 species
AAUAAGUGCAGCCAUGAGUUUUCGCGUCCAACUUUGAUCGUUCGUCUUAUUCGAAAUUCUUUUAUAAUUAGCAUUUUUGUUGUUAUAAGAUGAUAAAACAUGAAUAGUACUUUACUUGUGACUUAUGUUUUUAAUUUUUUUUAAAAAAAUUUCAAAUAAGACGAAUGGUCAAAAUUGGGCGCGGAAAACUAUGGCUGUACUUAUU